GUCUUCGGNAGCUGACGAGUGGCGAACGGGUGAGUAAUACAUCGGAACGUGCCCAGUCGUGGGGGAUAACUACUCGAAAGAGUAGCUAAUACCGCAUACGAUCUGAGGAUGAAAGCGGGGGACCUUCGGGCCUCGCGCGAUUGGAGCGGCCGAUGGCAGAUUAGGUAGUUGGUGGGAUAAAAGCUUACCAAGCCGACGAUCUGUAGCUGGUCUGAGAGGACGACCAGCCACACUGGGACUGAGACACGGCCCAGACUCCUACGGGAGGCAGCAGUGGGGAAUUUUGGACAAUGGGCGAAAGCCUGAUCCAGCAAUGCCGCGUGCAGGAUGAAGGCCUUCGGGUUGUAAACUGCUUUUGUACGGAACGAAAAAGCUUCUCCUAAUACGAGAGGCCCAUGACGGUACCGUAAGAAUAAGCACCGGCUAACUACGUGCCAGCAGCCGCGGUAAUACGUAGGGUGCGAGCGUUAAUCGGAAAUUACUGGGCGUAAAGCGUGCGCAG
rnacentral:rRNA from 1 species